rnacentral:rRNA from 1 species
GACAGAGGGUGCAAACGUUGCUCGGAAUCACUGGGCGUAAAGGGCGUGUAGGCGGGAAGGAAAGUCAGAUGUGAAAUCCCCAGGCUCAACCUGGGAACUGCAUUUGAAACUCCCUUUCUUGAGUACCGGAGAGGAGGGUGGAAUUCCUGGUGUAGCGGUGAAAUGCGUAGAUAUCAGGAGGAACACCGGUGGCGAAGGCGGCCCUCUGGACGGAUACUGACGCUGAGGCGCGAAAGCGUGGGGAUCAAACAGG